rnacentral:rRNA from 1 species
CAGUGAAUCAUCGAACCUUUGAACGCAAAUGGCGCUCCCGGGUUCCGCCCGGGAGCAUGUCUCUUCGAGUGG